rnacentral:rRNA from 1 species
AGGUGUAGCGGUGAAAUGCGUAGAGAUCUGAAGGAAUACCGGUGGCGAAGGCGGCCCCCUGGACAGAUACUGACACUCAGAUGCGAAAGCGUGGGGAGCAAACAGGAUUAGAUACCCUGGUAGUCCACGCCGUAAACGAUGUCUACUUGGAGGUUGUGCCCUAGAGGUGUGGCUUUCGGAGCUAACGCGUUAAGUAGACCGCCUGGGGAGUACGGUCGCAAGAUUAAA